rnacentral:misc_RNA from 1 species
UCAUUCCAGGGCCAAGUUGUCUGAUUGAAACCUUCAUACCAGUACCUUCACAACCAGAACACUUCAUUGAUUCACCAGACUUCGACCCCUUGCCACUACACUUAGAGCAAAUAACAUUGCGCGAAAGCGAGAGUUUCUUGGUCAUCCCAUUGUAUAGGUCCUCAAGCGACACUUUCAAUGGAUGCACUACAUCGUCACCCCUCCUCUCUCUUUGUCCUCUACGACCACCACCUCCAAAAGGACUUCCACUAAAGAAGGAAUUAAAGAGGUCAAAUGGAUCAUGUGUACCACCACCACCACCCAUUCCUUCUUUCAGUGCUUCUUCUCCAUACUGAUCAUAAAUCUCACGCUUCUGUGAGUCACUCAAGACCUCAUAAGCUUG